rnacentral:rRNA from 1 species
ACUCAAAUGAAUUGACGGGGGUCCGCACAAGCGGUGGAACAUGUGGUUUAAUUCGACACUACGCGAGGAACCUUACCUAGGCUUGACAUAUGCCUGACCGCUCUAGAGAUAGAGCUUUCCAGGAGUAAUCUUGGACAGGUUUACAGGUGCUGCAUGGCUGUCGUCAGCUCGUGUCGUGAGAUGUUGGGUUAAGUCCUUUAACGAGCGCAACUCCUGCUGUCAGUUGCAAUCCCGUGAGGGAGCACUCUGAUGGGACUGCCUGGGAAACCAGGAGGAAGGUGGGAAUGACGUCAAGUCCGCAUGGUCCUUAUGCCUAGGGCUACACACGUGUUACAAUGGCUAAUACAAAGAGUUGCAAGCUCGUAAGAGUAAGCUAAUCUCAUAAAGUUAGUCUAAGUUCGGAUUGAGGUCUGCAAUUCGACCUCAUGAAGUUGAAAUCGCUAGUAAUCGCGUAUCAGAACGACGCGGUGAAUACGUUCUCGGACCUUGUACACACCGCCCGU